rnacentral:rRNA from 1 species
UACGCGGGGGGCAAGCGUUGUUCGGAAUUAUUGGGCGUAAAGGGCGCGUAGGCGGUGCGGUAAGUCACCUGUGAAAACUCUGGGCUCAACUCAGAGCCUGCAGGCGAAACUGCCGUGCUUGAGUGUGGGAGAGGUGCGUGGAAUUCCCGGUGUAGCGGUGAAAUGCGUAGAGAUCGGGAAGAACAUCAGUGGCGAAGGCGGUCUGCUGGGCCGUUGCUGACGCUGAGGCGCGACAGCGUGGGGAGCAAACAGG